AGACUGCGUUUGAAACUGAUUAUCUUGAGUGUAACAGAGGAGAGUGGAAUUCCUAGUGUAGUGGUGAAAUACGUAGAUAUUAGGAAGAACACCAGUGGCGAAGGCGACUCUCUGGGUUAACACUGACGCUGAGGUACGAAAGCUGGGGGAGCGAACGGGAUUAGAUACCCCGGUAGUCCCAGCCGUAAACGAUGGAUACUANGUGUUGGAGGUUCGAAUCCUUCAGUGCCGGAGUUAACGCAUUAAGUAUCCCGCCUGGGGAUUACGAUCGCAAGAUUGAAACUCAAAGGAAUUGACGGGGGCCCGCACAAGCGGUGGAGCAUGUGGUUUAAUUCGAAGCAACGCGAAGAACCUUACCGAGAAUUGACAUCCCGUGACCAUCUAUGAAAGUAGA
rnacentral:rRNA from 1 species